rnacentral:rRNA from 1 species
GACGAACCGUGCGAACGUUGUUCGGAAUCACUGGGCGUAAAGGGCGCGUAGGCGGGCUGACAAGUCUGGGGUGAAAUGCCACGGCUCAACCGUGGAACUGCCUUAGAUACUGUCGGCCUCGAGGAAGGUAGGGGCAUGCGGAACUGUAGGUGGAGCGGUGAAAUGCGUUGAUAUCUACAGGAACUCCGGUGGCGAAAGCGGCGUGCUGGACCUUUUCUGACGCUGAGGCGCGAAAGCUAGGGGAGCAAACGGG